UACGUAGGGGGCGAGCGUUGUCCGAAGUUACUGGGCGUAAAGAGCGCGUAGGCGGGUUGGUAAGUCUGCUGUGAAAGCCCGGAGCUUAACUCCGGAGGGUCGGUGGAUACUGCCAGUCUUGAAGGUGCUAGGGAGAGAUGGAAUUACAGGUGUAGCGGUGAAAUGCGUAGAUAUCUGUAGGAACACCAGUGGCGAAGGCGGUCUCUUGGGGCAUUCUUGACGCUGAGGCGCGAAAGCUGGGGGAGCAAACGG
rnacentral:rRNA from 1 species